rnacentral:rRNA from 1 species
UUUCCUACGGGAGGCAGCAGUGGGGAAUAUUGCACAAUGGGGGGAACCCUGAUGCAGCGACGCCGCGUGAGCGAUGAAGUAUUUCGGUAUGUAAAGCUCUAUCAGCAGGGAAGAAAAUGACGGUACCUGACUAAGAAGCCCCGGCUAACUACGUGCCAGCAGCCGCGGUAAUACGUAGGGGGCAAGCGUUAUCCGGAUUUACUGGGUGUAAAGGGAGCGUAGACGGCAUAGCAAGUCUGAAGUGAAAGCCCGUGGCUCAACCGCGGAACUGCUUUGGAAACUGUUAAGCUGGAGCACUGGAGAGG